rnacentral:tRNA from 2 species
UCUUUGAUGGUCUAACGGUCAUGAUUUCCGCUUGUCAAAAAACAUCGCGGGAGAUCGGGGUUCGACUCCCCGUCAGAGAG